UACAGAGGGCGCGAGCGUUUGUCCGGAAUCACUGGGCGUAAAGGGCGCGUAGGCGGCGUUUUUAAGUCGGGGGUGAAAGCCUGUGGCUCAACCACAGAAUGGCCUUCGAUACUGGGACGCUUGAGUAUGGUAGAGGUUGGUGGAACUGCGAGUGUAGAGGUGAAAUUCGUAGAUAUUCGCAAGAACACCAGUGGCGAAGGCGGCUCACUGGCCCGAUACUGACGCUGAGGCACGAAAAGCGUGGGGAGCAAA
rnacentral:rRNA from 1 species